AGAAAUCAAGUCAAGAACACAUCAGGAAUAUUGUAUCUCCUGAGAGGCAUACUGCAGAAGCUGCGCAUAAAGUAUGACUCCAUUGCUCCACCCUAACGAAUCUGGAAAGCUCGGCCAAUGAAUUGCCAUUCUUUGAGUUGGAAGUAUCUUUGAAUAGAUUUCUGAAUCACAGAUUAGAAAGGAUUUUUUUUUGUGUUAUUGAGUUAUGAGACGGGGUGGUAAGUGACUUGAUGUCAACCACAUAUAUAAUUUCAUUCUAUCAAUAGUACAUAGCAUGCGAUUCACAUAUCUCACAAAUAAGCAUGUUAGAUCAAUGUAAGUGUGAUUUCUAUGUACAUUGAUUCUUUGUAAGAUGGGUCUUAUUAACAAAUACUCUCGAAUCACUUAUUAAGUAUACUUAACAAGGGAAUAUUCAAUUCUCUAAGCAUUGAGUGUGCAAAUCACGAGAGGCAAUCAAUGCAUUGGGAAUUCCAAAGGUCCUUAUUUGGUUGUUUA